UGAGAACCACAGUCUUCCCUGCUGCUUGGCUCAGGUUAAGAAGGCAACUUCCUGGGGCCCCAAGAGUGCACAGGCUGGCUUCCCCAUACUUCUGUGACACAGAGCAGCCCUCCAAAGACAGCCUGGGAUGGCCUGAAAACUUGUGAUCCUGCUGGCUCAGCCUCGAAAGUGCUGGGAUUGCAGAAGAAUGCUUUUGAAAGAACUGUAAUUGGAUUUCAUCAUCUUUAUCUACCUCUUCUAUUUUGCGUUUUUUAGAACAGGUUGGAAGCGUGGAGUCAGCAGAGGGAUCGUAAGUCUUCACUUCACUGAAAGAGCCAAAGAAUUUCAGAAAAUCUCUAUAACUAUCUGCAAUUCAAGAAAAAAAAUUUUUCUUUGAGAACUGGAAUCUUCACCAAAAGCAUCAUAACGGAUAGCCAA